rnacentral:rRNA from 1 species
UACGGAGGGUGCGAGCGUUAAUCGGAAUUACUGGGCGUAAAGGGUGCGUAGGUGGUUUAUUAAGUUAUCUGUGAAAGCCCCGGGCUCAACCUGGGAAGGUCAGAUAAGACUGGUAGACUCGAGUAUGGGAGAGGGUAGUGGAAUUUCCGGUGUAGCGGUGAAAUGCGUAGAGAUCGGAAGGAACACCAGUGGCGAAGGCGGCUACCUGGCCUAAUACUGAUACUGAGGCACGAAAGCGUGGGGAGCAAACAGGAUUAGAAACCCGGGUAGU